rnacentral:rRNA from 1 species
CCUACGGGUGGGCAGCAGUGAGGAAUAUUGGUCAAUGGGAGGAAUCCUGAACCAGCCAUGCCGCGUGCAGGACGACGGCUCUACGAGUUGUAAACUGCUUUUGUACCGGGGUAAAAUGCUCUCCGAGUAGGGUUUUGAUAGUACGGUACGAAUAAGGAUCGGCUAACUCCGUGCCAGCAGCCGCGGUAAUAUGGGGGAUCCGAGCGUUAUCCGGAUUCAUUGGGUUUAAAGGGUGAGUAGGUUGUUUUUUAAGUUAGCGGUGAAAUACCGAUGCGCAACAUCGGGGCUGCCGCUGAUACUGUAGGACUAGAGAACGGAUGCAGCAGGCGGAAUGUGUAGUGUAGCGGUGAAAUGCAUAGAGAUCAUACAGAACACCGAUUGCGAAGGCAGCUUACCAAACUACGACUGACGUUGAGGCACGAAAGCGUGGGGAGCAAACAGGAUUAGAUACCCCUGUAGUC